rnacentral:rRNA from 1 species
GAUGAACGCUGGCGGCGUGCUUAACACAUGCAAGUCGAACGGUGAAGGCGGAGCUUGCUCUGCUGGGUCAGUGGCGAACGGGUGAGUAACACGUGAGCAAUCUGCCCCUGACUCUGGGAUAAGCGCUGGAAACGGCGUCUAAUACUGGAUACGAGCUGCGAAGGCAUCUUCAGCAGCUGGAAAGAAUUUCGGUCAGGGAUGAGCUCGCGGCCUAUCAGCUUGUUGGUGAGGUAAUGGCUCACCAAGGCGUCGACGGGUAGCCGGCCUGAGAGGGUGACCGGCCACACUGGGACUGAGACACGGCCCAGACUCCUACGGGAGGCAGCAGUGGGGAAUAUUGCACAAUGGGCGAAAGCCUGAUGCAGCAACGCCGCGUGAGGGACGACGGCCUUCGGGUUGUAAACCUCUUUUAGCAGGGAAGAAGCGAAAGUGACGGUACCUGCAGAAAAAGCGCCGGCUAACUACGUG